rnacentral:rRNA from 1 species
UACGUAGGGGGGCAAGCGUUGUCCGGAUUUAUUGGGCGUAAAGAGCGUGUAGGCGGUUAGGUAGGUCCGUUGUGAAAACUCGAGGCUCAACCUCGAGACGCCGAUGGAAACCAUCUGACUAGAGUCCGGAAGAGGAGAGUGGAAUUCCUGGUGUAGCGGUGAAAUGCGCAGAUAUCAGGAGGAACACCGAUGGCGAAGGCAGGUCUCUGGGCAUUAACUGACGCUGAGGAGCGAAAGCAUGGGGAGCGAACAGG